GUCUACGGCCAUACCAACCUGAACGUGCCCGAUCUUGUCUGAUCUCGGAAGCUAAGCAGGGUCGGGCCUGGUUAGUACUUGGAUGGGAGAAAAUGUGGACUAGCAUAAC
rfam:Dipodomys ordii contig_44571, whole genome shotgun sequence.